UUCUAUGAUAAGUUAUCCAUGUAUUUUGAGGUGUAGUUGCCUCAAGUCCCUGUUUUCAGGAUGAACCUACUUGGGGUUGCUACAUUCAAUUAUGAAAUUACUGGAUCUUUCUGAGAG